GAUGAACGCUGGCGGCGUGCCUAACACAUGCAAGUCGAACGGAGUUACUUGGAAGCUUGCUUCCGGGUAACCUAGUGGCGGACUGGUGAGUAACGCGUGAGCAAUCUGCCUUAAGGAGAGGGAUAACACAGAGAAAUUUGUGCUAAUACCUCAUAAUGUAUUCGGAGGGCAUCCUCCGGAUACCAAAGUUUUUUCGCCUUAAGAUGAGCUCGCGUCUGAUUAGGUAGUUGGUGAGGUAACGGCCCACCAAGCCUACGAUCAGUAGCCGAACUGAGAGGUUGAUCGGCCACAUUGGGACUGAGAUACGGCCCAGACUCCUACGGGAGGCAGCAGUGGGGGAUAUUGCACAAUGGAGGAAACUCUGAUGCAGCAACGCCGCGUGAAGGAAGAAGGCCUUCGGGUUGUAAACUUCUGUCCUCAGUGACGAAGUUCUGACGGUAACUGAGGAGGAAGCCACGGCUAACUACGUGCCAGCAGCCGCCGUAACAC
rnacentral:rRNA from 1 species